rnacentral:rRNA from 1 species
CCUGGGGGUGAAGAAGCUCCCAAGGGUUUGGCUGUUCGCCAAUGAAAGCGGUACGUGAGCUGGGUUCAGACCGUCGUGAGACAGGUCGGUCCCUAUCUACCGUGGGCGCACGAAACUUGAGGAGGAUCAACCUUAGUACGAGAGGAUUUGGUUGGACUUAGCUCUGGUGUACCAGUUGUCACGCUAGUGGCACGGCUGGAUAGCUAACUAGGGAAAGGAUAAACGCUGAAAGCAUCUAAGCGUGAAGCCCUCUCCAAGACUAGGUUUCGUAGCUACUUGUAGCGAGAGUCCCCUGGUAGACUACCAGGUUGAUAGGACAGAUGUGUACGCACCGUAAGGUGUUUAGCUAACUGUUACUAACGGACGAACGCUUGACCAU